UACGUAGGGGGCUAGCGUUGUCCGGAAUCAUUGGGCGUAAAGCGCGCGUAGGCGGCCCGGUAAGUCCGCUGUAAAAGUCAAAGGCUCAACCUUUGAAUGUCAGUGGAUACUGCCGGGCUAGAGUCCGGAAGAGGCGAGUGGAACUCCUGGUGUAGCGGUGGAAUGCGCAGAUAUCAGGAAGAACACCAACGGCGAAGGCAGCUCGCUGGGACGGUACUGACGCUGAGACGCGAAAGCGUGGGGAGCAAACAGG
rnacentral:rRNA from 1 species